rnacentral:rRNA from 1 species
UACGGAGGGGCAAGCGUUGUUCGGAAUUACUGGGCGUAAAGGGCUCGUAGGUGGCCAACUAAGUCGGACGUGAAAUCCCUCAGCUUAACUGGGGAACUGCGUCCGAUACUGGAUGGCUUGAGUUUGGGAGAGGGAUGCGGAAUUCCAGGUGUAGCGGUGAAAUGCGUAGAUAUCUGGAGGAACACCGGUGGCGAAGGCGGCAUCCUGGACCAACACUGACACUGAGGAGCGAAAGCCAGGG